AGAGUUUGAUCCUGGCUCAGGAUGAACGCUAGCUACGAGGCUUAACACAUGCAAGUCGAGGGGCAGCAUUUUAGUUUGCUUGCAAACUAAAGAUGGCGACCGGCGCACGGGUGAGUAACACGUAUCCAACCUGCCGAUAACUCGGGGAUAGCCUUUCGAAAGAAAGAUUAAUAUCCGAUGGUAUAUUAAAACCGCAUGGUUUUACUAUUAAAGAAUUUCGGUUAUCGAUGGGGGAUGCGUUCCAUUAGUUUGUUGGCGGGGUAACGGGCCCACCAAGACUACGAUGGAUAGGGGGUUCUGAGAGGAAGGUCCCCCACAUUGGAACUGAGACACGGUCCAAACUCCUACGGGAGGCAGCA
rnacentral:rRNA from 1 species